rnacentral:rRNA from 1 species
AUUGAACGCUAGCGGCAUGCCUUACACAUGCAAGUCGAACGGCGUGGCGAACGGGUGAGGGAGGUAUAGGAACGUGCCCAGUCGCGGGGGAUAACUACGCGAAAGGGAAGCUAUUACCGCAUACUCUUGCAACGGCCGAUAUCGGAUUAGCUUGAUGGUGUGGUAACGGCUCACAAAGGCGACGAUCCCGAGCUGGUCUGAGAGGACGACCAGCCACACUGGGACUGAGACACGGCCCAGACUCCUACGGGAGGCAGCAGUGGGGAAUUUUGGACAAUGGGGGAAACCCUGAUGCAGCCAUGCCGCGUGUGUGAUGAAGGCCUUCGGGUUGUAAAGCACUUUUGGCAGGGAAGCGGUACCUGCAGAAUAAGCACCGGCUAACUACGUGCCAGCCGCCGCGGUAAUUC